AUGCUGAAAUGAUGUGUUUGCAACUGAUGUGGUAUGGCGCUUCCAACCACUGCUCCAUGUAAAUGUAACUCAUGAAGUUGAUCAGACACAAAACUUCACAAUUGAAAGUGUACCAAACGCUGGGGCAGGAUCCUAAUUUAUUACAGAGCAUCAUGUUACUAUGGUCAGUUCAGUUCAGUUCAGUCGCUCCGUCAUGUCCGACUCUUUGCGACCCCAUGAACCGCAGCACGCCAGGCCUCCCUGUCCAUCACCAACUCCCAGAGUUCACUGAGACUCACGUCCAUCAAGUCAAUGAUGCCAUCCAGCCAUCUCAUCCUCUGUCGUCCCCUUCUCCUCCUGCCCCCAAUCCCUCCCAGCAUCACAGUCUUUUCCAAUGAGUCAGCUCUUCGCAUGAGGUGGCCAAAGUACUGGAGUAGUACCCACAAUUGAUAGAAGUUAACUUCCUCAGUUUCUAUAGCUGCAAAGCUGAAAGUUUACCUGGUUGACUUCAAGAUUCUGUUUCCAACAUUUGCUUAUUCCCAAUGUCCAAUUUGCCUCUUUUUUACUAGGAAAAAAAAUAUCUAUUCUCAUAGUCUUUCUUUUGGGGAGACAAUUGCAUCUUCAAAAAUCUUUUUUUUUUCUUUAAAAGGAAACAACCUGUGUCCAGAAAGAUUCUACUUAGCUGAACAUCACAUCAGAGUAGUCAUGAUUUGUUAGAGACUUGCAGACCUGGGCCUUAAAGACUUUUCUGACCAGAGGCAGAGUAUACAUCACUCUAAAAUUUUCAGAUGUUUACAACAAAAACUUAUUGGGGGGCAGGGGGAAAGAAUAUGGAAUCUAAAAAGAGAAGGAAGGAAAAAAGAUUACCAAGGGAAAAGAUAAAGAUCUUAUAAUCAAAAUUUCAAUGUCUUUAAGAAAAUCUAUUAUACAAAUUAUUCUUAAAGUGUUUAACAAUUUAGGACUUUUACACAGCCUUUGGUCAUUAUCUUUUAAUAUACAUAUGAGUUACAAAGUAACAGAGCCACUUUCUGUUUUGGCUUCUGCUGGUGGUUCUGCAGUAACAAGCCUGUCUGUGAUGUUUGAACUCCGUGGAGCAGUAUAAAAGGAUAUUGAUUGAUGGUUCAGUCUGUUCUUCUAUACAUAUGCAAAUUAUGUUUGUAUUAAUAUUAUCUAGAUUAAAAAGGGAAAACUUCCU
rnacentral:lncRNA from 1 species